AGGCCCGUAGUUCAAUUGGUAGAGCAUCGGUCUCCAAAACCGAGUGUUGGGGGUUCAAGUCCCUCCGGGCCUG
rnacentral:tRNA from 1 species